CAUAGGGGACUGGGGGGUGUCACAGGGGAUUGGGAGGUCACAUGGCUCUGGGAGUCUGAGGGGGGCACAGGGGUCUGGGGGAUCCAAGGGGGUCCAAGGGGUCUGAAGGGUCAAAGUGGGGUUGGCAGGAGGAAGGGGGUGGGGGGGGUCCUGGAGGGGAUCCUGGGCAGGCAGGAGCAGGGUCCCUUUUUGGGGUGCCAACCUCGCUGUGCCCUUUCCUUUCCCCCCGACCUGUCUUGCCCUGGCAGUUUGGCACCGGGUGUUUGCCAACGGUGAGUGACCCCCGCGCCUCGGCCACCCCCUGCCCUGGGGGCACCCCUGCAGCCCCCAGACCCACCAGGGGCACCAGGGAUGAGCUCUGUGGGGAGGGGACACCAGGCACCAGACAUGACCAUGGGCUCUGUGGGGAGGGGGUACCGGGCAUGGGGCACAAGCUCUGUGGGGAAGGGGCACCUCCAUCCCACUGGGAAUGGCUGCUGUGGGUGGGAGCAGAGGGGACUCCUGGCAUGGGGGUGGGCAGGGGCAUAGAUCCCCUGACCCCACGGGUGGGCACACACUGAUCCCAUGGGUGGGCACACUCAUGGGUGGGCACUCACAGACCCCCAUAGAUGGGCACACUGACAGAUGGGCACUCCCAGGGUGGGCGCUCUCAGGUGGGCACUGUCCUGGAUUGGCACACUCAGGUGGACACUCCCAGGGUGGGCACUCACAGGUGGGCACUCUCAGGGUGGGCACUGUCAGGCCCUCAGCCCGUGCCCCUCUCUCUCCCCAGCGCUCCCGGACGAUCUGCGCAGCCCCAUGAGGAUCGAGCGCGAGGAGCAGCGGAACCUGCACUUCUUCCCUCCGGAAUAUGGCCAGAAGGCAGACGGGACGGCCGUGGACAUCUUCUCCUUCGGGAUGUGCGCGCUGGAGGUGUGGGAAGGGGCUGGGAGCCUGUCGGGAGCUGUCACCGCCUGGGGAUAUCCCCUGUCCAGGGCUGUCCCCUGUCCCUGCCCUGUCCCAGGCUGUCCCCUGUCCAGGAGUGUCCCUGUCUGGGGCUGUCCCUUGUCCCUGCCCUGUCUGGGGCUGUCCCCUGUCAUUGUCCUGUGCCCUGGGAACCCCCCCCAGACUGGCCAUGUCCCUGUCUCCUGGAGCCCCCCCACAUGCCCCUGUCCCUGCCCCUGUUGGAUGGCCGUGUCCCUGUCCCUGUCCUGUCCCUGUUGCCCCCCAGC
rnacentral:lncRNA from 1 species